rnacentral:misc_RNA from 1 species
AAAGUGCGAAAUGUGGUGCGAUUUGCAUGAAUCUGUGAGACAUUUAAUCUUUGAACGCAACUUGCGCUCCUCUGGAGCAUGACUGUUUGAGGGCCACAACAAUCGAGAAUCUCGAGAUGGCUUGCUAGUGGUAGCAGGCUGGAAGGAAGAGCAAUAAUGGUAUAGAGCGCAAGCUUGUCCAUUGUCGCAAGUGAUGGUAUAGUAUUGGGUGAGCAAUCAUUAACAAGACAACCACACUUUAUCUUUGGCCUCAAAUCAGUCAAGAGUACCCGCUGAACUUAA